UAUUCUCGACAUGCGUGGCACGUCAUUCCAGCGCAAGAGGUUAACGCAAGUAGUACAACAUUCCAGCCUCGAUGUUUCAAUCGAUCACGCAUGUUGCUUGAUCAUUGGCUUUGCGAUUGUAGAAAUUAUAAAUACACAUCGAUCAUCAAAACAUCGGCAAAAACGUCAUCAAGGACAAAACGGGGAUUUCCAGCGUAAGCGUGAAACGCGAAUUCAGCGGUUUGAUUACGAAACUUUCGUCGCGAUUUUCGAUUGCUCAAUGAAGCUCGACGGUAACGUAACCUGCAUUCUGCCCGGGUUCUCACGUUAUGGCGUGUACGUAGACCUAAAUCGCGGCGUGUCUCCAGACAAUGAUACAUUGACUUUACAAACAUUGGCCCACGUAUCGGAUUAUUUCCCGGCGAGAAAUAUAUAGCAGGUAGACAGAUAAUGGAGACAGGUAGUCUUUGCACAACGACAGAAAUACGUCGCGAAGAGGUAAAGGUUUAUUGUUGAAAACGGCAUUCCGAUUGUCCCUGCAACAACUCUGGUAUCCUUGCAAUGCUCGGUUAUAAUGCCAGGUGUGGCUUUCAGGUUUGAACUUAAUAUCUCUUUUUUAUUUAUUUCUGGUGCUCCGUUCGAAGGAAAAAAAACUUUGAUCAAUAACGAAUUCUAGAAUUUCGUCGGACAAUUGUAUUCGAUCGGUAAUACGAGAGAAUACAAGAACAACAUCGGUGCGUUUUUUUUUUUGCCGAUGUCAGAGGUUUCGUAACAGUUAAACUCGUGUCACAACGAGCAGCAGACAUCAACAGGCAUCGUGACGAUUCGUGUUUCGACUAAUGACACUGAAAUCAGUCUUGCGUUGAGUAACAAGAGACAAAUAUGACAAUGAACUAAUCGGGACGAUUAAACGAUUCGUGCAGCUUCUUGAAGAAGAAAAAUAAAAGAGAGAAACAAAAGGAAUGAAAGAAGAAAAGAAAUCAAGCGCUACAAGUAACUUGCUUAUAUAUUAUAUAUAAUGCUAAUGUUAAGUACAGUAAUCGAUGAAGUUUGAGUUACACUAGCGGUCCAGUCACGGUACGAUUACAGGACUUAGUCGCAGAAGCUUCAGAUAUUAUUCGACGCUCCGGAGCGUGACAAUUACACACAUAAAUGUUGACGAGCACUGGACCAUAUUUUCAAGGCUCAAGAUUUUCAAACGUAGACCUGUGAAUUCUGCACUAUUCUAUUGUUUCAUUCGGCUUCGUUCACGCUUCACGUGCAAUUCUGUUUCAUUUGGAAGAUGCGAUUAAAUUUCCUGCGACAAUACAUGAUACAAGCGGAACAGAGCGAGUUUUAUUUUUGUGUGCAAACGCCAGUUGAAAUAAACAGAAGCCACUAUGAAAUAUCACCAAAGAUCAACCUUCGAACUCGAUCGUUCAAUAGCCAACUUACACGCAGAAAAAAGAAGAAACAGACUAACGACCAGUGCUCGCUUUUUUACAUACUUCAGCGCAACUGUGUCAAUUUCAUUGCACAACGCUUUUUUCCAGUUUGCAAAGUCUCGAGUCCGGAGGAUGACCAUCUGAAGCCACGCCACGCGAGAUCGAUCUCGACCGAGUGGCGUGAAACAUCGCGAAAGGAAAACAAGGACAAAGGUCGACAGGAUUCCUCUGCCAAAUAAGUUCUCGGGGAAAGAACAUACAUGUACUCCGGCGGCGCAUGGCGGCGUAAUUUGCCGAUCGGUGGGAAUUACUGGCGGCGCAAUCGGAAGGCCGUAAUCAUUUACACCGUCCGGGAGGAGAUGAUACGAGCCAGCGUAACUGUGUAUGCACACACCAGGAGCCUACUGGUGGAAGGCGACGGGGGAACGAGCCAACAUUUUUAUUCUAAUGCGCGUUCAGCGGCUGCGAUCGCCAAGGUAAACGCGCUCGGAACGCGCUGGCGAAAAUAACAGAGCUCGGUACGUCAUGCUGCCUCUCUAUCGGCCACGAUCCACCAUCCACCGUUCUCUGCUGAUUGCUUCGCGAGGAAACUGCAACGAUACCAACAGCCCUGUUCGGAUUGACUUGCGAUUAAAUUACGAAAUGAACUCGGUAGCAGAAAAAUCGAAGCGAUCGAUUCGUCAUCUUUCAUAGAGAUUCUACAAAUUUAUACAACGAUAAAAUGCACUUUUUUUUUUUUUAAUUAAAAGUUGAACAAGAUUUAAAUAGACGAGUCUUUUUCAAUAGCGUAGAUUAGGUGAGAUUCUGAAUCGCAGUGUACAAAUAUAAAGUUUGAAUCAAGAGCAGCGAAUGAAUGGGCCUUGUCGUAAUGACAAAUCGCGACGAGUUUUUCUUCCUGAACAUCGUCCAAGAAUGAGUAUGCGUGUUUCGUUUGCCUCUCUGCGCUAGAUCGCGAGGAUAUUUUAAAUCGAUUGGUGUGAGCGUCCUCUUCGCGGUUCAAUAAACUGAUCGUAAUAAAGCUGCGAUCCUCGCGAUUGGCUCCAUCUCUUUCCUCUUUCAGAACUUCUCUGUUCAGGAUCAAAAGUGUACAACCCGAGAGAAAGUUGGCACAAAGACAAUACUUUGUGUUCCAACAGUUCAGCGAACCAAACUUUAACAGCGAAGAUAAAAAAAAAAAGGGAAGAAACUGGUUUAAUAUGAAAGUUUCCACAAGCAUUUAGACAAGCAUCUCUGAUGUAUUUAUACAAUAAUUUUUCUUCUCUCCUCGUGUUCAUUCACGUUUGCACGUCAACAGAGGCACAAACUUAAACAGAAACUUUCAGUCUCGGGUCUUAAACAAAAUUAUUGUUAAUAAACGCAUCCUCUGUUCGUGUACACUCUCGUUGGUGGUUGAAUCGGCAAGAAAGUUCUCUCUCCAAGAAAGUUCGUAGAGGCGGCCGGGAUGUUUUUCUUCGAUCUCUACCAAAUAAAGUGUCGAAAGAAAGCUGCGCGCGAACGAAACCGCGGCGUACGUUUAAGAGGAAAAUGCCAGCAAUGUCCCGACGCGGUUCGCAAUGGGUCGAUUCCCAUAAAAGAGAUUGCAUACGAUUGCACCGCUCCGCUGCGUGCUCUACGACACGGCUAAACGCAAAACUUGUCGUGAGCCGACGACAGGCGUUGAAAAUGGGCGCGGCCCCGGAAUGUCGAUCGUUCGGAACACACCGUGAAUUAGAAACGACGACUAGCCGAAAUCCAAUUGAUCCGAGCGGCCAUGGAAAUUCAUGGUGACGCGAAAACCUUACGAUUCUUCAAAAUUAUGUAUCAUCUACCACUCUUCUGUUAUUAUACAUAUUAUAAUA